rnacentral:tRNA from 1 species
GACCCGCUAGCUCAGUUGGUAGAGCAUCUCCCUUUUAAGGAGGUGGCCGAAGGUUCAAAUCCUUCGCGGGUCACCA